GUAGUCAAAAUAAAUUGUGAGUAAAUUCACCGAAUUUUAAACAGAUGAUAUUAAAGCAAAUCUCAUCUCUCCCAACAGUUGCAACGAUUGAUAAGUGCGAUGAAACUUAAGUUACAACCACUUAGGCCUAAACAAGUGAGACUUUCUAAGACUAGGUCUUAUUCAAUUAUCCUUUUUUCAUAUGGUGACCUUUUUUGUGUUAUCCAAUAUUCAAUCUCAAGGUGAAAUAGUACUCUAAUUGAUCACUCUUGUCGGCUUAAAGGUUCUUUUUUCUUUUUCAUAAUUUCAAUAAAAAAGUUUGUGGAAUGAUUUUAAUUUUUCCACUGAAAUCUCACAUUCUUUUUGAGGAAUCUUGUCACGUUGCUUUUAAAGGUCCGUGGAACCUAUAGCCAUAAACUGAUUUACUAUUUAAAUUUAAUAGAUUUAACUUUUAAAAUAUUAGAAUUGAACCUAUCAUAUUUUAAAAGUUAUGAGUUCAUAUUUAUUAUAUUUAUAAUUUUUAACGAAUUUUUACCAAUACAUUUUACAUUGCAUCUAAAGCGAUGGUUCAAUUGAACCCUUCAUUGGCACAUUACAUUUGCUCCUGCUUAUAGGUUACGGAUUUGAGCCAUAAAUUCAUUUACUUAUACUUUUAUCCGAGUAGAUCGCCCACAUAAUCCUCUCUUUUUUAAUAUAGCUUUUGCGUGAACACAAAAUACUUUGUACAUCAACAAACUUUUUUUAUCAUGUUGCUUUCAAGAUCUUGAGUGGAUGAAGCAGAUAGAUGUAGGAGAACAAUUUAAAGAUAGAAGACCUUUAAAUGUAAGAAGGAAAGAGAUUUUGUU
rnacentral:lncRNA from 1 species